GCGGCCGUCCCGGGCGCGCGCCUCAUUCGAGGCGACGGGCUCCGGGCCCUGAUAGAUGGGGUGCGGGGACGGAGACAAAUGACGGCCUUUGGGCUCGGAAUACCUACCUUUCUUGUAAUGCAGCCCAGCGGGUCCCAGCCUCGUUUUCCAGCCCUCACUCAAAAUGGAGUCGCUCUGGUUCGAACGCCUCUGACAAGUGUGUACCUACGUGUCAGGGUUGGAGUGCCGUGGUGUGAUCAUAGCUCACUGCAGCCUCAAACCUCUGGGCUGAAGCCAUCCUUCCACCUCAGCCUCCCAAGUAGCUGGGACCAUAGGCGCAUGGCACUGUGCCUGGCACUGUCUGAAUGCAUACAGUUGCGUAGCAUUGUGGUAAGAACGCCUGCCCUGACAUCACACAGACCUGCAUCCACAUCCCAGCUGAGCCUCGGUUCUCACAUCUGCAAAAUGGGGAGAACAGCAGCAGCAGCAUCCUGAGGCUGGGGUGAGGACCGAGUGAAAAACUUUUGUCGCAUC